AGGGCACAGCUACUCAGGUCUACUCGCUGUGUGAGAACCGAAAGCGCAAGUCAGGCUCACUGCACCUGCAUAUGGGGAAGCCAGAAAAACCUGUUCCAAACUUCUGAGACAUGACCUGUCCUAACACUGAAGGAUCAUAAAAAAUUUGCUUUCACCAAGAAGUUCAGAAACUUUAACAUGGCUGAUGUGAUAAAGUGUUGGGUCUUUCUCUGAAGCUCAAGAAGGAAGGAGAAUUUGAGGAAGGCUGAACUCAGAGAAGAGAGGUGAUAAAAUAGAGAGAAAGGUCUCUGGAGAGAUCAGCUACACCGUAGCCAGCUGGGACCUGUGGAGGACGAAGAUCAUUAUGAUAUUCCCUGCAGCAGGAAGCAGCAAAUGAACUGUCAGGCCAGUGAGGUCUGACACCCAAUUAUAAGUUGUCAAAUAUAUACACAGCGUCUUUCCAUCAUACCUACAUUUGUUAACGUUAUUUUUAUUUACCUUCUGUUUUGUGUCCAGCACUGAUAUUGUGCUAAAUCCUUCAGACAAAGUUUGGUGCUUUCAUGACCUGACUAUGUGUUUGCAGUAAGUGUUUGGAGAAAUGAGGGAG
rnacentral:lncRNA from 1 species